rnacentral:rRNA from 1 species
AUGACAAGCACUUUGAAAAGAGGGUGAAAAGGACCUGAAACUGUUACGAGGGAAGCGGAUCGCGUUGGAGAAUAAAUGCAUGCUCAGCCUGCAAAGGUGUACUCAUGUGUUUGUAGAACAUUCGUGGCUUUUCGACGACUGAAUUUGAGUUGUUGGAGGGUGAGGGAUCUCCUUUAUGGAUACUGAGGACGAAUGAUCGUCAACGCGAUACGACCCGUCUUGAAACACGGACCAAGGAGUCUAGCACAGGUGCGAGUCGAAGGGUUUUAAAACCUGAGGGCGCAGUGAAAGCGAUCUGAUAUAUUUAUAUAUCCCAAAACGAUCAGUUUGAGGCGGCAUAAAAUCGUUGAUUUUAGGUCCGACCUAGAGCAGUUGUGCUGGGACCCGAAAGAUGGUGAACUAUACCGGAGUAGGGCAAAGCCAGAAGAAAUUCUGGUGGAGGCUCGUAGCGGUGCUGACGUGCAAAUCGCUCGUCGAACUUGGGUAUAGGGGCGAAAGACUCAUCGAACCAUCUAGUAGCUGGUUCCCUCCGAAGUUUCUCUCAGGAUAGCGGGCCGACAGACGUUGUUUUGUGC